CAGUGCCUUGUGGGUAAAUAGCUUAUCGCUUGUCCGUUCACCGAGCAGAUUGAAAGAAGCCCCCUGACUGUCGACUUCUCUUUGGCUGAUUGAGAAUCAACCCUCCCUGCUGCUUUGGCUGUAGCUGUUUUUGGUGACAGCCAGCUGUUUACACAGUGCCCGGCUGUCUCUCUACCUCUCUCACUAUAUUUUGGGACUUUCUAGCUCUCCUAUCCCAUCUACCCAUUCUAUCUAAUUAUUGGAUAUUCUACCACUCUAUCCCAUCUACUCUAUACCACUCUAUCUGUUUUAUGGACAAACUUUUUCCAGAAAAUUUUACCAGAAAAACUUUUCCCAGAACAUUUUACCAGACAAAGUUUUUUCCAGAACAACAUUUUACCAGACAAAGUUUUUUCCAGAACAACAUUUUACAUGAAAAAGUUUUCUGCAACAAGGUCUUUGAGUGCCUUAUCUGACUACAUUUACCAGACCUGAGAGUUUCUUCACUCUCACCGCUCUCUCUGUCCUAUCCACACUCUUGCACUAGUUAUUUGCAUUAAGUUCAAGAAAUACAUCAACACAUUUUCAUAUUAAACCAUUUUUGGAUCUCUAUUGAGAGUUUAAGUUAAUUUGACCCACACAUAAAAAUAUUUGCUUAUAUUCAGUACAGAAAUUCUUAGUUUAAAUACCUACACAUACUUAUAAAUACAUAUAUUAACACAUUUUUCAUAUCAAAGCAUUUUUUGAUCUCUAUUGAGAGUUUAAGUUAAUUUGACCCACACAUAAAAAUAUUUGCUUAUAUUCAGUACAGAAAUUCUUAGUUUAAAUACCUACACAUAUUUAUAAAUACAUCAAUAUAGAUACAUACUGAAUUACACUUGAAAGGAACUGUUACCCAUCUCUCAUCCUCCUGCUGGUUUCGAGGUGAAUAUACGGUUUGUAAUAAAGGUUUGGAUCCAGAUAUAUUUUAUUAAGUGAAUUUGACCCACACAUAAAAAAUAUUUGGUCAUAUUCAGUACAGAAAUUCUUAGUUUAAAUACCUACACAUACUUAUAAAUACAUAUAUUAACACAUUUUCAUAUUAAACCAUUUUUGGAUCUCUAUUGAGAGUUUAAGUUAAUUUGACCCACACAUAAAAAAUAUUUGGUCAAUAAAGGUUUUGAUCCAGAUAUAUUUUAAGAUUUUUUUUUGUAAGAAGUUUAUGUAUGUGCAAGAAUAAAAACAUCUUAAAAAGA